AGAGUUUGAUCCUGGCUCAGGAUGAACGCUAGCGACAGGCCUAACACAUGCAAGUCGAGGGGCAGCGGAGAGGUAGCAAUACCUUUGCCGGCGACCGGCGCACGGGUGAGUAACACGUAUGCAAUCCACCUGUAACAGGGGGAUAACCCGGAGAAAUCCGGACUAAUACCCCAUAAUAUGGGCUCUCCGCAUGGAGGGUCCAUUAAAGAGAGCAAUUUUGGUUACAGACGAGCAUGCGCUCCAUUAGCCAGUUGGCGGGGUAACGGCCCACCAAAGCGACGAUGGAUAGGGGUUCUGAGAGGAAGGUCCCCCACAUUGGAACUGAGACACGGUCCAAACUCCUACGGGAGGCAGCAGUGAGGAAUAUUGGUCAAUGGUCGGCAGACUGAACCAGCCAAGUCGCGUGAGGGAAGACGGCCCUACGGGUUGUAAACCUCUUUUGUCGGAGAGUAAAGUACGCUACGUGUAGCGUAUUGCAAGUAUCCGAAGAAAAAGCAUCGGCUAACUCCGUGCCAGCAGCCGCGGUAAUACGGAGGAUGCGAGCGUUAUCCGGAUUUAUUGGGUUUAAAGGGUGCGUAGGCGGCACGCCAAGUCAGCGGUGAAAUUUUCGGGCUCAACCCGGACUGUGCCGUUGAAACUGGCGAGCUAGAGUGCACAAGAGGCAGGCGGAAUGCGUGGUGUAGCGGUGAAAUGCAUAGAUAUCACGCAGAACCCCGAUUGCGAAGGCAGCCUGCUAGGGUGCGACAGACGCUGAGGCACGAAAGCGUGGGUAUCGAACAGGAUUAGAUACCCUGGUAGUCCACGCAGUAAACGAUGAAUACUAACUGUUUGCGAUACAAUGUAAGCGGUACAGCGAAAGCGUUAAGUAUUCCACCUGGGGAGUACGCCGGCAACGGUGAAACUCAAAGGAAUUGACGGGGGCCCGCACAAGCGGAGGAACAUGUGGUUUAAUUCGAUGAUACGCGAGGAACCUUACCCGGGCUUAAAUUGCAACUGAAGGAACCGGAAACGGUUCUUUCUUCGGACAGUUGUGAAGGUGCUGCAUGGUUGUCGUCAGCUCGUGCCGUGAGGUGUCGGCUUAAGUGCCAUAACGAGCGCAACCCCUAUCGACAGUUACUAACGGGUCAAGCCGAGGACUCUGUCGAGACUGCCGGCGCAAGCCGCGAGGAAGGUGGGGAUGACGUCAAAUCAGCACGGCCCUUACGUCCGGGGCGACACACGUGUUACAAUGGCAGGUACAGAAGGCAGCCAGUCAGCAAUGACGCGCGAAUCCCGAAAACCUGUCUCAGUUCGGAUUGGAGUCUGCAACCCGACUCCAUGAAGCUGGAUUCGCUAGUA
rnacentral:rRNA from 1 species